AUUGAACGCUGGCGGCAGGCCUAACACAUGCAAGUCGAGCGGAGCGGCGGACGGGUGAGUAAUUCCUAGGAAUCUGCCUGGUCGUGGGGGAUAACGUCCGGAAACGGGCGCUAAUACCUCCUACUAUCAGAUGAGUCUAGGUCGGAUUAGCUAGUUGGUGGGUUAAAGGCCUACAAAGCCGACGAUCCGUAACUGGUCUGAGAGGAUGAUCAGUCACACUGGAACUGAGACACGGUCAAGACUCCUACGGGAGGCAGCAGUGGGGAAUAUUGGACAAUGGGCGAAAGCCUGAUCCAGCCAUGCCGCGUGUGUGAAGAAGGUCUUCGGAUUGUAAAGUACUUUAAGUUGGGAGGCGUUACCAACAGAAGAAGCACCGGCUAACUCCGUGCCAGCAGCCGCGGUAAUUC
rnacentral:rRNA from 1 species